rnacentral:rRNA from 1 species
CCUACGGGAGGCAGCAGUGGGGAAUAUUGCACAAUGGGGGAAACCCUGAUCCAGCAACGCCGCGUGAGUGAGGAAGUAUUUCGGUAUGUAAAGCUCUAUCAGCAGGGACUAGAAAAGAAGGUACCUGAAAAAGAAGCACCGUCUAAAUACGUGCCAGCAGCCGCGGGAAUCCGUAGGGGGCAAGCGUUAUCCGGAUUUACUGGGUGUAAAGGGAGCGUAGACGGAAAGGCAAGUCAGAAGUGAAAGCCCAAGGCUGAACCAUGGGACGGCUUUUGAAACUGUCAAACUAGAGUACGGGAGAGGUAAGAGGAAUUCCUAGUGUAGCGGUGAAAUGCGUAGAUAUUAGGAGGAACACCAGUGGCGAAGGCGUCAUACUGGACCGCAACUGACGUUGAUGCUCGAAAGCGUGGGGAGCAAACAGGAUUAGAUACCCUAGUAGUC